rnacentral:pre_miRNA from 7 species
UGCUGGCCGGAGCUCUUUUCACAUUGUGCUACUGUCUAACGUGUACCGAGCAGUGCAAUGUUAAAAGGGCAUCGGCCUUGUA